AUAAAAAUGUCACUAGCAGGACAGAAUGUCUCAUCAAGACUUCAGUGUUGCCUCAUUUGUAAAAUGAGUUGCUAGACACCUUGGAAGAGACACCUGUCAGUCUCCUGGCUGCUUGAAACCUGGGGAGGAGAGGCUGGAGAUCAGAAAGAUCUUUGAAAAGAAUGGCAACUGGAGUUUUCCUGCCUACCUUGAGCUCCUGAGAUGGAAAGAACAUGACUCAGAUGGAUGUACUAGAGGAAAUGCGCCAGGAAAUCCCAAGCAGGGUGCAACCGGUCACUAUUAAUGCUCACAAGUAUCAAAGCCGCUUGAAGAAAUACAGCUACUUGUGGAUGGACGAUAAAAUUGAAUUCAUGAAGCAGUUCCUUCUCCAUGGGCAAUUUCUAGGUGUUGACUAACUAGAAUUGCAUGCAGACUGUGAAUUUCAGAACUCCAC